AGAGGUCUAGCCUGCCCAGUGGUUCAACGGCCGCGGUAUUCUAACCGUGCGAAGGUAGCGUAAUCACUUGUUUUCUAAAUAAAGACCAGUAUGAAAGGCAUCACGAGGAUUAAACUGUCUCCUCUUUCUAAUCAGUGAACCUAAUCUCCCCGUGAAGAAGCCGGGAUUCACAUAUAAGACGAGAAGACCCUGUGGAGCUUAAAACACCUAACAUGUGGCACUUUGAUUAUCUGUUUUUGGUUGGGGUGACCGCGGAGAAAACCCAUCCUCCGCAAUGAAUAAGCAAUAAGUUACAACUUUAAGCAUCAAAAUUGACACAAGUGACCCAUAAUUUGAUCAAUGAGCCAAGUUACCCCAGGGAUAACAGCACAAUCCACUUUAAGAGCUCCUAUCGACAAGUGGGCUUAUGACCUCGAUGUUGGAUCGGGAUAUCCUAGU
rnacentral:rRNA from 1 species